rnacentral:rRNA from 1 species
UACGAAGGGGGGCUAGCGUUGCUCGGAAUCACUGGGCGUAAAGCGCACGUAGGCGGCUUUGCAAGUCAGAGGUGAAAGCCCGGGGGCUCAACCCCCGGAAUUGCCUUUGAGACUGCAUCGCUAGAAUUGUGGAGAGGUAAGUGGAAUUCCGAGUGUAGAGGUGAAAUUCGUAGAUAUUCGGAAGAACACCAGUGGCGAAGGCGACUUACUGGACACAUAUUGACGCUGAGGUGCGAAAGCGUGGGGAGCAAACAGG